GUGCCCGCUUCGGCAGCACAUAGACUAAAAUUGGAACGAUACAGAGAUUAGCGUGGCCCCUGCGCAAGGAUGACAUGAAAAUUCCUGAAGUGUUCCAUAUUUUU